rnacentral:rRNA from 1 species
AGUGAACGCUGGCGGUAGGCCUAACACAUGCAAGUCGAACGGCAGCACAGUAAGAUCUUGCUCUUACGGGUGGCGAGUGGCGGACGGGUGAGGAAUACAUCGGAAUCUACUUUUUCGUGGGGGAUAACGUAGGGAAACUUACGCUAAUACCGCAUACGACCUACGGGUGAAAGCAGUGGAUCUUCGGACCUUGCGCGAUUGAAUGAGCCGAUGUCGGAUUAGCUAGUUGGCGGGGUAAAGGCCCACCAAGGCGACGAUCCGUAGCUGGUCUGAGAGGAUGAUCAGCCACACUGGAACUGAGACACGGUCCAGACUCCUACGGGAGGCAGCAGUGGGGAAUAUUGGACAAUGGGCGCAAGCCUGAUCCAGCCAUACCGCGUGGGUGAAGAAGGCCUUCGGGUUGUAAAGCCCUUUUGUUGGGAAAGAACAGCAGCAGGUUAAUACCCCGCUGUUCUGACGGUACCCAAAGAAUAAGCACCGGCUAACUUCGUG